UACGGGGGGGGCAAGCGUUGUUCGGAAUUACUGGGCGUAAAGGGCUCGUAGGCGGCCAACUAAGUCAGACGUGAAAUCCCUCGGCUUAACCGGGGAACUGCGUCUGAUACUGGAUGGCUUGAGUUCGGGAGAGGGAUGCGGAAUUCCAGGUGUAGCGGUGAAAUGCGUAGAUAUCUGGAGGAACACCGGUGGCGAAGGCGGCAUCCUGGACCGGUAUUGACGCUGAGGCGCGAAAGCUAGGGGAGCAAACAGG
rnacentral:rRNA from 1 species